AUCCCAUGGUGAGGGUGUUGCCUUAAAAGCUCGUUAAAUCUUUCCCAGGCAUCAAACAAAGACUCAUGAUCUUCUUAUCUAAAUGAAGUAAUCUCAUAUUUCAUCUU